rnacentral:rRNA from 1 species
UGGGGAAUAUUGGUCAAUGGAGGCAACUCUGAACCAGCCAUGCCGCGUGCAGGAAGAAGGCCCUAUGGGUCGUAAACUGCUUUUGAACAAGAGAAAACCCCGGUACGUGUACUGGGUUGAUAGUAUUGUUAGAAUAAGCAUCGGCUAACUUCGUGCCAGCAGCCGCGGUAAGACGAAGGAUGCAAGCGUUAUCCGGAUUCAUUGGGUUUAAAGGGUGCGUAGGCGGACUGAUAAGUCAGUGGUGAAAUCUCUCGGCUUAACCGAGAAACUGCCAUUGAUACUGUUAGUCUAGAGUACAGAUGAUGUGGGCGGAAUAUGACAUGUAGUGGUGAAAUACUUAGAUAUGUCAUAGAACACCGAUUGCGAAGGCAGCUCACAAAACUGUAACUGACGCUGAGGCACGAAAGUGCGGGGAUCAAACAGGAUUAGAUACCCGAGUAGUCCCUGAGCGGGCUGGCAAGGCGCAU